GUGCCAGCAGCCGCGGUAAUACGUAGGGGGCAAGCGUUAUCCGGAUUUACUGGGUGUAAAGGGAGCGUAGACGGUGAUGUAAGUCAGAUGUGAAAGCCCAGGGCUCAACCCUGGGACUGCAUUUGAAACUAUGUGACUAGAGUGCAGGAGAGGUAAGUGGAAUUCCUAGUGUAGCGGUGAAAUGCGUAGAUAUUAGGAGGAACACCAGUGGCGAAGGCGGCUUACUGGACUGUAACUGACGUUGAGGCUCGAAAGCGUGGGGAGCAAACAGGAUUAGAUACCCUGGUAGUCC
rnacentral:rRNA from 1 species